GAUAUGUUUGGCACUCAAAAUGUAUCUAAUUUUCUACAUUCUGAAGCUGGCAAAUAAAAUAAUAAACCUAUUGAACCUGAAAUAUGUUUUUGGGAAAAAGCAGCAAACUACAUUGGAAUUUGCUGUUUGGUUACUCAGUCUGCCAAAUUUUGGAUGCUCCACCUGUGUCAAAUUUGAACAGCAGAUGGGUCUGCCACUUGAACUUCUGCCA
rnacentral:lncRNA from 1 species